rnacentral:tRNA from 1 species
GAAGAUUUAAGUUAAUAAAACUAAAAGCCUUCAAAGUUUUAAAUGAAAAUGAGAGUUUUUUAAUCUUUG